rnacentral:rRNA from 1 species
UCAGCAGGGACGAAGCGAGAGUGACGGUACCUGCAGAAGAAGCACCGGCCAACUACGUGCCAACAGCCGCGGUAAUACGUAGGGUGCAAGCGUUGUCCGGAAUUAUUGGGCGUAAAGAGCUCGUAGGCGGUUUGUUGCGUCGGCUGUGAAAUCCCGAGGCUCAACCUCGGGUCUGCAGUCGAUACGAGCAAACUAGAGUGUUGCAGGGGAGACUGGAAUUCCUGGUGUAGCGGUGAAAUGCGCAGAUAUCAGGAGGAACACCGGUGGCGAAGGCGGGUCUCUGGGCAACAACUGACGCUGAGGAGCGAAAGCGUGGGGAGCGAACAGGAUUAGAUACCCUGGUAGUCCACGCCGUAAACGUUGGGCGCUAGGUGUGGGGCUCAUUCCACGAGUUCCGUGCCGCAGCUAACGCAUUAAGCGCCCCGCCUGGGGAGUACGGCCGCAAGGCUAAAACUCAAAGGAAUUGACGGGGGCCCGCACAAGCGGCGGAGCAUGUUGCUUAAUUCGAUGCAACGCGAAGAACCUUACCUAGGCUUGACAUGCACGGAAAUCUCCCAGAGAUGGGGGGUCCGUAAGGGCCGUGCACAGGUGGUGCAUGGUUGUCGUCAGCUCGUGUCGUG